CUACGGGCUGCUGCAGUUAGGUAUAUUUUGCAAUGCGCGAAAGCGUGACAAAUUGAGCCAGAGUGUUUUUCAAUUGAAAAACUUUUGCCGAAUUUAAAAAGUUCGGCGAAUAAGGACUGGGUAAGACGAGUGCCAGCCGCCGCGGUAAUACUCGCGGUCCAAGUCGCAGCCAUUUUUAUUGGGUCUAAAACAUCCGUAGCUUGCUUGAUAAGUUUCCUGUGAAAUCCGGCUUCUUAAAAGUCGAACGUGCGGGAAGUACUGUCAAGCUAGAGACUGGAAGACGUGAGAAGUAUGUUCAAAGUAGCGGUAAAAUGUGUUAAUCUUGAGCAGACUAACAAUAGCGAAGGCAUCUCACGAGGACAGUUCUGACAGUAAGGGAUGAAGGCUAGGGGCGCAAAACGGAUUAGAUACCCCUGUAGUC
rnacentral:rRNA from 1 species